GACGAACGCUGGCGGCGUGCUUAACACAUGCAAGUCGAACGGAAAGGCCCUGCUUUUGUGGGGUGCUCGAGUGGCGAACGGGUGAGUAACACGUGAGUAACCUGCCCUUGACUUUGGGAUAACUUCAGGAAACUGGGGCUAAUACCGGAUAGGAUCUCCUGCUGCAUGGUGGGGGUUGGAAAGUUUCGGCGGUUGUGGAUGGACUCGCGGCUUAUCAGCUUGUUGGUGGGGUAGUGGCUUACCAAGGCUUUGACGGGUAGCCGGCCUGAGAGGGUGACCGGCCACAUUGGGACUGAGAUACGGCCCAGACUCCUACGGGAGGCAGCAGUGGGGAAUAUUGCACAAUGGGCGGAAGCCUGAUGCAGCAACGCCGCGUGCGGGAUGACGGCCUUCGGGUUGUAAACCGCUUUCGCCUGUGACGAAGCGUGAGUGACGGUAAUGGGUAAAGAAGCACCGGCUAACUACGUG
rnacentral:rRNA from 1 species